UACGUAGGGAGCAAGCGUUGUCCGGAAUCAUUGGGCGUAAAGCGCACGUAGGCGGUCUGUUAUGUCGGAUGUGAAAGCCCUCGGCUCAACUGAGGAAGUGCAUCCGAAACUGGCAGGCUAGAGUACUAAAGAGGGUCGCGGAAUUCCCGGUGUAGAGGUGAAAUUCGUAGAUAUCGGGAGGAACACCGGUGGCGAAGGCGGCGACCUGGGUAGAUACUGACGCUGAGGUGCGAAAGCGUGGGGAGCAAACAGG
rnacentral:rRNA from 1 species